rnacentral:rRNA from 1 species
UACAGAGGGUGCGAGCGUUGUUCGGAAUUACUGGGCGUAAAGCGCGCGCAGGCGGCCCUUUAAGUCUACCCGUGAAAUGCCGGAGCUCAACUCCGUGCACGCCGGGGGAUACUGGGGGGCUGGAGACAGGUAGAGGCAAGCGGAAUUCCGGGUGUAGCGGUGGAAUGCGUAGAGAUCCGGAAGAACACCGGUGGCGAAGGCGGCCUGCUGGGCAGUAGCUGACACUGAGGCGCGACAGCGUGGGGAGCAAACAGG